rnacentral:rRNA from 1 species
AGAUUUGUUAGCUGUAAUUAAAAAAGAAAAGAAAAAUAAUUUUUUAGGGGUAACCAGAAAGUAGUUUUUAACAAAGAUCUUGAAUUAACUAAAGUUUAUAAGUACCGAAAGGGAAAGUUUAAAAUUUGAAUAUUUUUUAUAGCAGAUCUAAAGGUUUGUAUUUUGUGUAUAAAAGAAAAUCUAUAUAAUUUAAUUAUUUUAAAUUUCUCGAAAUAAAUGUAGCUAGCUUGAAAUAUAAGUUUUUGUAGUAAAUAAAUUUAAAAUUUGAAGUUAAAGGUGAAAUGUUAAUCGAAAUUUAUUAUAUCUAGUUCUUUUAAAAUGAAUUUAAUUCUAUUUUUACAGGCUAAAAAUGUAAAAAUGAAAUGUAGGAGGGAUUAGCUUCUUAUAAAUUAAAGUAAGAAAUAGUGAAAUAAAUAUUUAAUGUGUUGAAUUAGGCUUAAGAGUGGCUAUUUUAAUAAAGUGUUUUAACUAAAUUAAAUUUAUAAGGUUAAAAAUUUAUAAAAACUUUCGUUAAUGUAUAAAAGAAUAAUUGAAAACUGUAAAAAUUUGGAUAUAAUGAUUUUAUUAGUAUGUUUUAAUGUUUAAGUUAAAUAUGUAUAAUAAAUGUUAUUUUUUAAUAAAAGAGAAAUAAUAUAAAGGAAUUCGGCAAGUAAUUUCUUUGCCUGUUUAUCAAAAACAUGUCUGUUUGAAAAUAUAAAAAGUCUAGUCUGCCCACUGAUAAUUUUUAAAGGGCCGCGGUAAUUUGACCGUGCAAAGGUAGCAUAAUCGUUAGUUCCUUAAUUGGGAUCUUGUAUGAAUGGCUGAACAAAAGAAUGGCUGUCUCUAUAUUUUUUCUGAAUUUGACUUUCAAGUGAAAAGGCUUGAAUACUUUAAGAAGACGAUAAGACCCUGUAAAGCUUAAUGAGUUUAAUUAUUUAGUUAAAUUAAUGUAAGAAUAAAAAUUUUAUAAGAAGAACUUAUUUUGUUGGGGCGACAAUGAUAAAAUGAUUCUAACUGUAAGUGAAAAAGACAAAGUUUGAUGAGUUAAAUACGUAAAUGAUCCUUAAAUUUAAGAUUAAAAGUUUAAGUUACUUCAGGGAUAACAGCGUUAUUUUUUUUGAGAGUUCAUAUCGAAAGAAAAGUUUGCGACCUCGAUGUUGAAUUAAAAUUUCUAUAUAAUUGCAGAAGUUAUAAUAGAGGGUCUGUUCGACCUUUAAAUUUUUACAUGAUUUGAGUUCAGACCGGCGUGAGCCAGGUUGGUUUCUAUCUCUUAAUAAAAAAUAAUUAUCUUAGUACGAAAGGAUUUGGUAAUUAAAAUUGUUUUGUUGGUUGGGCU